GGAAAUAGGGGCCAUAAGAAUAGGCGUUUUACUUACAAUAAAAAGAUCAAUAAUUGUGUUUCUA
rnacentral:tRNA from 1 species